UCCUCUCACUCAGAGAAGCUGAGGUCAGGUGGGUGGGGCAAGGUGAGCCCCUGGCACCAGCUCUUCCCUGCAGGGUGUGCAGGACCUUUGUGGAAGCCACAGAUUUGGCUGUUUUAAGAACAAAGAGCUGGCUUUUUAAUUAUGCAGCCCAGACAGGCUCCCCGCAGGUGGGUGGAGAGGGAGCUCCCCAGGGCUGCCUAGCAGACGCCCUGAUUUCCACUCCUUGAAGUGGCCACUUGGAGAAGGAACCAGCAAGCAAUCAAGCAUGAAGGACAGAAAAACUCUCCAGGAAACCACGUGCCCCUGUCUAGUUCCAUGGAUUUCAUGGGGCAGGAGGAAGUUGGGAUGUAGGGGAAGUUCUGGCAGACAGGACGAGGAGGCAGACAGAUCACCUCUUCAGGACCGCAGGGGAUUGUCAGCAAGAGAAAAAGGGAGACAAAUUCAGGGGGGCGCUGGGAGGCCAGGUGGGCGUGUCUUCACCUUCCCUCUUACGGGUGAGGAUGUUGUAGAGAUGCCCAGUUGAAAAGGCCCCUGGGAGCCCUGGAAGAUGGUGGCGCAUAAACCUCGAAGAGAGGCAUCCACAGCCCUCCCUGAACCAGGUGAGUGUGCAGAGUUCAAAAGUCUCCAUGGGCGUUCAGGAACACGUACAGAGGCUGCAGUCAGGAGGAGGAGGCUGCUUCGAGCCUGGACAUUUGCAACUGGAGUGAUGGGGGCAGGGGUCACCCUUCGCCUAGAAAAGCCCAGGCACAGCCCCACAGUCACCUGUCCAGGAAGCAGCCCAGGCCAGCCCCUCUGCAGCAGAGACCUGUGAGAACCCAGAAGAUGCCGUGUGGCCUGAGCCCAGCUCCCCUGCACCAGGCUACAGAUAUCUGCUCAGGGGUGCCUGCGGGUGCUUCUUACAGGGAGCAGCCCAGGAAGAUGCCUCAAUGACUAAGGGUCUAUCUACAAGACCCAGAGUCACCCAAAAGACUCUGGUCAAACCAGAAGAGGCUGCAAUGCCAUCAAUCCACAAAUUCAGGGUUUUUAUUCCUCUCCCCCCUCACACCCAGUGAGGCAGGGACUCUGGACAGUUAUAUGAAAUAAAAUGCUAUUUUUUCCUUUAUG